UACGUAGGGGCCUAGCGUUGUCCGGAUUUAUUGGGCGUAAAGAGCUCGUAGGCGGUUCGGUAAGUCAGGUGUGAAAUCUCCACGCUCAACGUGGAGGCGCCACCUGAAACUGCCGUGACUCGAGUCCGGUAGGGGAGAACGGAAUUCCUGGUGUAGCGGUGAAAUGCGCAGAUAUCAGGAAGAACACCCGUGGCGAAGGCGGCUCUCUGGGACGGUACUGACGCUGAGACGCGAAAGCGUGGGGAGCGAACAGG
rnacentral:rRNA from 1 species